rnacentral:lncRNA from 10 species
GCCUGGGUGACAGAGCGAGACUCUGUCUCAAAAAAAAGAGGAAAAAAAAAGAAAUAUAUGAAUAAUGUUUACUGUUGUGAAAAAAAAUUACACAUUACAGAAGAAAAACAGAAAAUGUGACUGUUAGCCUGACUCCUUCCCAUUUCUCAGGGGUAAUCCUUUAAAAUUAAAGUUUAAUGUGUAUCUUUUCAGAUUUUUUUUUUUUUUUGAGUCAGGGUCUCACUCUGUUGCCCAGGUUAGAGUAUGGUGGUGUGAUUACAGCUCACUUCAGCCUGACCUCCCUGGCUCAAGUGAUCCUCCCACCUCAACCUCCCAAGUAGCUGGGACUACAGGUAUAUACUACCAUGCCUGGCUAAUUUUUGGUUUUUGUUCGUUUUUGUAGAUAUGGGGUUUUGCCAUGUUUCCCAGGCUGGUUUUCAAUUCCUGGGCUUGAGCAAUCCACCUCGGACUCCCAAAGUGCUGGGAUUACAGGGCAUCCACCACCACACCCAGCGCAGAUUUUAUAAGAGUAUAUUUAUAUUUAAAAUACAUAAAUGAAAUCAUACUUUAUCCUAGUUUAUUAUUUUUUUCCAUUAAUAAAUACAACUUGGACAUCAUUCCACAGCACGUAGACUGACCACAUUCUUUUUAACAACUACACAGUAUCAUAAUUUUUUUU